rnacentral:lncRNA from 1 species
UUUUUCAGAGAAGGUUACCGCGUGCGUAAAAUUAUCCUCAAUAAACUUUAAAAUAUAUAUACAUUCUUUAAAAGUGUGAGCUGAAUAAACUCUUAGGAUAUUCAAUGUUAUCCUCACCACCUUAAAAUGCUUGACUUGUCACUUUCAUAGUAGACCUAACAAUUCAUGAGCACAUGAUUUCUUUUUAUAUAAUUCUUUCCUAUUUCUGUGCUCCCUUCUUCUAGAUAGUUUCCUUUCCUUAAUUCAGCAUUCCAU